AGUCUGAGCAUGUUCCAGUGGUUCUGCUCUCCCAGUGCACAUCAUCUGCAGCAACCAGAAUCAGCCAAAACAGGCUCUCAUAGGUUGGGAGUUUCUCACAGCAUGAUCAACCACCUUCCCAGCAAAUCACAGGUGUUCUCCACAUGGCGUGAGCAGGAGGGGAAACUUCUCAGCAGAAACAUGAAAGUUGAAGUGCUUUGAAGUAUAUUGUUCUACAUGCCUAACGGGACAGAAGAGCUAUGGAAAACUGCCUCACAAGAAGGUUUUUUAGGUGGAGAUAAACAUGAAAGCUGUAUUUCCAGGAUACCAUGCUGAGAUGCUGAUUUUUGUUGGAAGACCACACUCUAAAUCGUGCUGAAAUGGGAUGCAGCAUGGGAGCCAUCAUAAUCAGGGCUCCACCACUGAAGCCUAGGAACAGUU